CUACAGCACGCCUCUGGUAACAGCGGAAAGCUAUCUUUUAACACUAGUUAAAUUACUUUAACAUGUGUAAACCGUUUGUCAAGUUUGAACAAAAAAUAUUGGAAGGUGUUAAAACAAUGGACUAAAAUCAUUUUAGGAUAUUUGUAAUAAAACACUCUGUAUCUCGGUCAUGAGUAAUAUUUUAUUUAAGUGUUUUAGGUUAAAUCUUCAUAAUUUGUGCUAAGGUUACUCCAUUUACUAUAUGGACAGCUGAUGAAACACCCUGUACCUAUAGAUUUUAGCAAGCUCCGCUCAAGAACACCGAUAAUUGGUUCCAUGACAUCGCGUGGCGCGAACAUCUCGUUAAUGCGUAACGGCGACACUUCGUAACGGCGAUACUUCGUAACGGCAACAGUUCGUAACUAUACUUAUUCGCAAUGGUAUAAUUGGCAACGUCAACUGUUAAUUUUUUUAGCAAAUUUAGUACUACUGUUAUUUAAAUGAAAGCUGAUCAAACGAAGAACAUAAUUUUAUUAAAAAAUGUUCUUAAAAAGAUCCCAGUUGGACAAAAAGUUUACAUCACAUAUUAACGAACGUUUGCGGUCUUAGCAGACCAUCAUCAGGUUAAACUCUAGAUCGUUGUAGUUGAAACUAGCCACAGAAAUUGGUCACAUGACCUUUUAAUAACAAAGUUUAAGUCAUAUUUGCUUAAUCUGAUGCGACAGCCAGUCGAUGUUACAAGAUUAAAGAUUUAUCAAAUGUGCGUCUUCAUCUUUGUUUCAAGUUUUCACCGGGCAUGUGCUGGUUUUAUGAGGAAGUCGGACCAACUGAUCAACUCUAUUAUUUAUUAUUUUAUAGGUAUAACGGGCCUACUUUAUUAUUUUUAUUAUUUUAUAUAACAGGCCUACUUUAACUUUAUUAUUUAUUAUUACUAACUACCGUUACUUUUAGUAUGGGAAAGUAUGUUAAAUACGUUUUUGUAUAAAUGCAGUAAUACUAAAUUUGCUACAAAAAUAUACUAUUCUAAUUGGGAAAAAAAUUAAAUGUAAGCGUUACGAAUUACCCAGCUACGAAUUGUUAUAGUUACGAACUAUCGUCGUUACGAAGUGUCAUCGUUACGAAUUGAUGGCGUUACGAACUGUCGCGUCACGAAAUGUCUUGUCACGCCGAAAAUCACGUUAACCGCCUGUUGCCGUGCGUGCAAGACAACUUGAAUUUCCCAGUUUGAGUUUCCCAAGGGAUGCAUGUUUAUUUGCGCUCCCAUUGUACCUAUUUUCCGCGUACGCCUAUAUUUAGUUGGUAAGUUUGAUUUGUGCAGUCGAAUUUCAAUUUUAACUGUGAUUAUUAAAAAUAGCUUGAAAUAUAUAGAAAGUAAGUUGAACUGUUUUAAAUUUUAUCAAAAAUGGAUGAGCAAAAAAUAUCGAAAAUAAGAAAUAUGAAUACACAUACAUCGAAAUAUGACAAGAUUGUAUAAGGUACAAUCCAGCGGACUAUACAGCGUUUCACGGUAAGAAUAGAACGUUGCUUAGAUAGGCCAAUGUAUUUCUUAUGGACGAUAGAAGCGCGCCGAUGCCACGCCGAACUGAUUAGAAUGAAUCGUAUAUCGGCAGUCCAGUAGCCACCCGUACGCGAGAGGCUUGGCAACACUAAUCUCCAUAAUUUAAAUUUAUAGACACAGACUGGCUAAUUUUAUGUUGACUUCUCAUAUCAACAUUAUUAAUAGUACAUGACCUUCUUCUUCAUGUACCUACUAUGUCCUUUCAGAACGUUGGUUACCAUCAUAGCUAUCUUAAUUUUAUUCACUGCCACCCGAAAUAGUAUGCUUGUAUCAAUACCAUACCAAUCUCGCAAGUUCUUCAACCAUGAGUCCUUCUUCGUCCUGGACUACGUUUGCCUGCUAUUUUUCCUUGCAUGAUAUUUUGUAGCAACCUAUAUUUGCGACCUCAUUACAUGUCCGAAAUACUCCAGCUUUCUCUUCUUAUGCUUUUUAUAAUCUCUAAUAUUGUGGAGUUUCGAAUCUUCUUCAGCCAAGAAACUUUACUAUUUAGAUCAUAAGAAUAGCCUGAGUCACUGUGUUUAGCUCUCUCUACUGUCUCUAUCUAUCUUUCUCUUUUUUCAUCUCGUUCCUCCCUUUAUUUUAUAUAUUGUGUACGGAGGAUUUUCUAUAUGAUGUUUUCAAUGUAAAAAAACAAACUUUUUAUCAUUUGGUUUCAAAAUCUUAAUCUUUAUCUGAUAUAUCAUUUACUUCUGAGGGAACGGAAGAAAAUGAGACAUAUCACUCACACGUUCUACAUUUUUUGAUAACUUCUGUUUUCCUAUAAGAAAUUUGGACAAAAAUAGUUCGGGCACUAGGUACCUGUUAUUAUUAAUAGAAUACAUUUGAGAUACAUACAUGACUUAAUUAGAUAUUUUUUGCUUAUCUUUGCUGCUUAACGAUAUUGUAUGUUAUUGUUGAAUAGUUGAUUUCUGUAAUUAGAGAGUAUUAACAAAGGGAUUGUUCUAUUAGCUAAAUAAAUUAAUGUUGGUUGAUUACUAGAA
rnacentral:lncRNA from 1 species